AACGCACCUUGCGCUCCUUGGUAUUCCGAGGAGCAUGCCUGUUUGAGUGUCAUGAAAUUCUCAACCUAUCUAGUUUUCUGACUAGUAAGGCUUGGAUUAUGGAAGUUGCUGGUUUCAUCGAAUCAGCUCUUCUUAAAUGUAUUAGCAAUGAUUUUUGCUGACCAUCAUUGGUAUGAUAAUUAUCUAUAUCAUUGAUAACCAGUUCCCUUUCACAGGGAGGUCUUGCUUCUAACAGUCGUUUCGACAACUUGACAUAUUUGACCUCAAAUCAGGUAGGACUACCCGCUGAACUUAA
rnacentral:misc_RNA from 1 species